AUAGGACUAGCUGAUGCGGUCCACUUGCGUUAUCCAAAUCGUGUUGCUGAUAACUUAUUGUAAGUUAUUGUAACUUAUUGUAAGUCGCUCUGGAUAAGAGCGUCUGCUAAAUGACAAAUGUAAAUGUAAAUGUACAUUUUGCUUCUCUCUCUCUCUCCGACAAGUAAUAUAGACAUUUGGAGCUAUAGAAAUGCUGUUAAUUGAGCUGCCUAUUCAAGAAUUCCAGGUGUUUGUACAGGUCAGGUGUCUGGCUUGGCCUUGGUCUUGGUCGGGGCGAUGUCUCGGCCCACCUACACAGAAAUGGAGUCUUUCACCCACACAUCCCAGGGCCUGUCUCACACCUCCAUCCUCCUCAUAGUGGUGGGCAUCAUCGUCUCUCCAUAUCGCACAGUGUGCGAUAUGGUAACUUGGGGCUUUAUGUUUUGGAGAACAGUUAAUAUGCCGUGUUCCAUCUUCACAUACUAAAUCAUAACCUGUCCGAGCUCUGCCACGUUUGCAUUUUGCUUUUGGAGAGUAACAUCUUGGUUGUUUGUACUCUGUAGUUCACACACUUCCUAAUGCUGAUCCUCAGCCUGCAGAUAGUGUCUGGGAUUCUCUUCUGUCUUCAGAAACAAGGUGGAGAGAAGGGAUAAGGUUGCCAUCGAUGACCUACAGCAUGCAUUCCGUCAUUGUGGUGCAGAGAACUACACCGACUGGCUCCUGCAGGGCUCUCAUGGGAAUAUUAGUUUUGUGCCACACUCCUGUUGCCAUGUGGAUUCUGUGGCCUGUGUGAAAGUCGUCACCACAGACAACAUCUACCAGAGAGUCAAUGUUAACCAGCACAGGGAAGGGCGAGGGGUUUACAAAGGCCUCAGAUGAGGUUAACAAAAAGGUGAUCAUGAUUCCCUACAUGGGAAUUGCUGUGACAAUGAUGAGAGGUUUUAAGGGCCCUAAAGAGUAAGGAGGCUUUAUCUCAAAUGCCCUGAGUCUUUUCACUAAAACCUAUAAUAACAAGCUUUUAGUCAUGCUUAGCUCAGAUCCUGGAGGUCUGCAAUUCAGCAAGUAAGACAAGCAGGGACUUGGAGGGAUAAAGUUAAACACGGUCAAUAUAUAUCAGCUGGUUCUUUGAGUGACUGACUGCAGACACUGUGGCCCCUGGAGGACAGACAGUUAAUUAACAGCUCAUUUAGUCACAGGAAGAGAGGUUUCACAACACUCUGUGCUAGUGUGUGUGUGAGUGUGCGUGCGUGCGUGUGCGUGUCGUCCCUCCAGGGCUUUGUGCAGGUGAUCAAAGAGUCCCUGAAGAGGACCUGAUGUGGCUGGGUGCCGCCUGCAUCGUACUGGGUCUCAUAGAGGUUAAACAACAUAUCAGGUGUCCUACUUAGGUCACAUCUCGCAUCAUUGUACUUACUGUGUUAUUAUCAUUUUUAUCAGUUAGUGGGAUGCAUCAUGGGAAUUAAGCUCUUUCGGGAUGUCAAGAAGAGAGAGGUGUAUGAGAAUUUGGGUUAAGGAGGGAGGGAACGGCUUCGGUCAAGACAAUGCCCAUACCAUUCUAUCGUAAAUCGGGGGAGAAUGCUGUGACUCACAUCAUAAUGCAGUUUAGAUCCUGUGUAUUGUCUUUCCAAAUAUUGAAUUGUUAUCAGUGAUUGGUUGUUUUGCUGUUGGUUUUUUUUCUGGAAUGUUCUGAUUUUUUAUGGUGGUGGAGGCAAGGGUGUAGGAAUAACAGUGCAGCUUGAAUUCACACAUUGUUGAGUUGAUCUGUUUUUGUUGUGGUUUUGAAUGUCUGCAUUCUGUGUCUGCCAUGUUUCACCAGGCCAUUUGGUCCAGGAGGUGAGGCGGUCACCUGUCACAGUCAUUGUCCCAUGUUAUUUAGGCUGUUGUUCCUGGGUGGUUCACUAGGAACAUUUGCUCCCGUCACCUCCAAGCGACAAGGGUGUGGUGGUGCUAAUGAGAGUUUCUUCAGACAGCUGGGAUCAGCUAAGGCUGCAGCUCCACCACCUCCAUCGCUCUCCAUCCAAGCACAUCCUCCCCCAUCUGAACAACAAGCCUUAAUGAUAAACUCACGUUUUAUGCCCGGUGUUUUACGAUCCCUCUUACUGCACCCCACCCGGCCUGUUAGUGGAUCCAAGUGUAUCCGAGGCGCCGGGAAAAAUGGAACACGUCAGCCGGACGCUGGACCCAUGGCGGCGGGCUGGGCUGAAGGCUGGUCUCCCUGGCCUACAGUGAAACAGGCUCACUGGGCCUCUGGCUGGCUUCGAUGGAGACAGGAGACUGCUGCCUGUCUGCUGUGGGGCCUGCCUGCUGCUCUACCUGGCCCGGCCCCUGUAAUGUCAGUAACUAGGUCAGUAGUAGUACUCAACAUCCCCAGGAAAUUGGAUGGACUCCCAGCAAGUCUUCUGUUAUUGAGGAUUGUGUUGUCAAUCCCUAAUUCAGCCAACACCCAGGCCAGCAACCCUAAUUUGUAGGAUUUCAGGACCCUUAUUAGUUAUUAGACAUAUUGACCCAGCAGAAGAAAACAAAUAUUUAGCACGCGCAGACAUUUGUAACUGUACUAAAAUCAUGACGGAGUUGCUGCCCCCUGUGUCACCCAGGAUAACAGGAUAUGUAGAAGUGUGCUAACCCAGUGUGAGUGACUGGGGAUGGAAGAGCAGCAGAGGAUGUUGCUCACUAGAGAUAGAAGAACUCUUAGGUAAAGUCAUGCACCUCCUCUCCUCUUCUCCUCAGAAUGUUUAAUACUGUAAUGCCAAGGGAGCAUGGUGUAAUUUAGGAUACUUUUUCUGGUGAUUCAGAGGAAAUGUUCAAACCAGCAGCACUGGCAGGCAGCAGACACCACUAAAUCCAAGCCUUCGGGCCUCUAUUCACUGUCUGUAUGUAGCCUGCAGUCGCUUCAGGAAUGUUCUCUCUCUCUCUCUCUGUCUCUGUCUGAUAAGAUCACACGGCAUCUCUCCUUUCACCUUUUAUUUUUCUCUUUUUACUUUCAUCUUCUCAUUCAGCCUCUCGUCUGAAGGAUGGUAAAGGACGACAUAGAACUGAUAAGACCUCAUUCGGCAUUAGGAUUGGCCUACUUUAGUUGUCCCUGUGGUCAGCGGUACAGCUGAGAUCUAUCUGAGCGGUCCGCUUGGCAGAGGGUUUGCUGUGCAGAAGGGCCUGUUUAUUUUCUUUUAUUAUUAUUAGUUACGCUGCACGUUGACCAUGAACGUCUGGUCUGGAGAGCCUGUCUGUCUCUCCCCAAGGCCUUCCAACAUACAGCUCAACAUGUGCAGCAGCACAGAUGGAACCACCCCCAACAAAAAGAGGAAGAAAAACCUCAGGAUUGAAGGAAGGAAAUUAGAAAAUGCGGUCUUAUGCCCUUACCAUAACCACACAAUGCUAAGAGUUGCUCAAUCAAUUUCUAUUGAUAGUGUGGGCUAAAGUUUUCAAUGAGAUGAAAUGUAUUUUUCUAGUUCUGAUAUGACUGGUUUAGAGGGUUAGUAGUAGCAAAUGUAAUAAUGUCCCAGAAGGAUUUGAUGAGUGGUGCGAGACAGGACAUGACUGUUAGGGUGUUCUUGCUUGUCUGAAAGCUUUGUAGAAAGUGACUCUUCUACUCUUAGUAACUCUUAUGCUGAGUGUUUUUGGAAUGAGAAUAUGUAGACUGGAUGUGUAUAUUAGUGGGUGUUGUGUGUCUGCUAGAAUAUGGGUUAUUUAUGAGUGUGUGCAUAUGAUAUGGGUGUGUGUGUUUAACUCGCACCUCCUUGACGAGGCCCCUCCACCAUUUCUCUCUCUCUCUCUCUCUCUCUCUCUCUCUUUGGGCAGGGCUCAGAUGGAAGUGAUUACGCUGCACAGGGAGAGAGAAAUUACAGGGAGAACCUACAGAGCUCCAGCCCUUCUCCUUUAUCCACUCACUCAUUCACUCACUUACACAUACAGGCACGCAAUCACAUGCACAGGAACACAUGCCCUGCCACCAGUCCCACCACAUUGCUUCUGGUGGUACAUUUCCACUCUUGGCUGUGUCAGGACAAUGCGCCAGUGUGCUCCCCUCCUUCUCCUGCCUCCCCUCUCGUGGGCCGAGUGAUUGAGCGAGCGGUGAGGGCCAGGGCUGUAAAUUCCUCUGAAAGAGCAGUUAAGAAGGCUCACAUUAAAACGGGGAUCGACGCUCGCCAUAAAGGAGCCGAAGAAAUGAGUCAUCACCUGGAGCCUGAAGGGUUCCAGAGCCUGCAGAACCACAGAGGAGAGGAACUGUAGAAAUAGAACGGAUAGAAUAUACUGUAUCUUUCAUUUCAGAUGUACACAACUUACUCCAACUAAGUUGAGAUGCCAAGGAAGCAUUGUGAUUAGAUGACAUGAGCAUUAUAAUUGUGACAUUUAACUACAAUGUCACAUUUCAAUGUUUUCUAAUUAAAUUAUUUGGAUAUAUUCUAAAAAAAUAUGUCUUCUCUUUGCUCCAUUUCAUAUGUUUUGGAACCCUAUGGCUAGUGCGCUAGUUUCCUAUGUUGUAGAACUGUAAGCCUAAACCUACCCUCUAACUAACCACAAAAUCUUAACAUCAGUCGUGGAGGUCUAUUCUAGCCCGUGAACCCCACCCUCUCUCUGUUUCAGGUCUGCAGGUCAGUUGAGUUGCCAUAGCAGCUCUCUGUGCUGUACCACACAGCUACUAUACAGACAGGCUGAUUCAGAAGGCCAGGCAGCGGGCUCUAACCAGUAAACACAGCUACUAUACAGACGGGCUGAUUCAGAAGACCAUGCAGCGAGCUCUAACCAGUAAACACAGCUACUAUACAGACGGGCUGAUUCAGAAGGCCAGGCAGCGAGCUCUAACCAGUAAACACAGCUACUAUACA